rnacentral:rRNA from 1 species
UACGUAGGGGGCUAGCGUUGUCCGGAAUCAUUGGGCGUAAAGCGCGUGUAGGCGGUCCGGUAAGUCCGCUGUGAAAGUCGGGGGCUCAACCCUCGAAUGCCGGUGGAUACUGUCGGGCUAGAGUACGGAAGAGGCGAGUGGAAUUCCUGGUGUAGCGGUGGAAUGCGCAGAUAUCAGGAGGAACACCUAUAGCGAAGGCAGCUCGCUGGGACGUUACUGACGCUGAGGCGCGAAAGCGUGGGGAGCGAACAGG